GACAGUACUGACGCUGAGAUGCGAAGCGUGGGGAGCAAACAGGAUUAGAUACCUGGUAGUCACGCUGUAAACGAUGUCGAUUUGGAGUUUGUUGCCUAGAGUGAUGGGUUCCGAAGCUAACGCGAUAAAUCGACCGCUGGGGAGUACGGCCGCAAGGUUAAAACUCAAAUGAAUUGACGGGGGCCCGCACAAGCGGUGGAGCAUGUGGUUUAAUUCGAUGCAACGCGAAGAACCUUACCUGGUCUUGACAUCCAUAGAAUUCUGCAGAGAUGUGGGAGUGCCUUCGGGAACUAUGAGACAGGUGCUGCAUGGCUGUCGUCAGCUCGUGUUGUGAAAUGUUGGGUUAAGUCCCGCAACGAGCGCAACCCUUAUUCUUUGUUGCCAGCGAUUUGGUCGGGAACUCAAAGGAGACUGCCGUUGAUAAAGCGGAGGAAGGUGGGGACGACGUCAAGUCAUCAUGGCCCUUACGACCAGGGCUACACACGUGCUACAAUGGCGUAUACAAAGGGAAGCGAAGGUGCGAGCUGGAGCGGAUCUCAUAAAGUACGUCUAAGUUCGGAUUGGAGUCUGCAACUCGACUCCAUGAAGUCGGAAUCGCUAGUAAUCGUAGAUCAGAAUGCUACGGUGAAUACGUUCCCGGGCCUUGUACACACCGCCCGUCACACCAUGGGAGUGGGUUGCACCAGAAGUAGAUAGCUUAACCGCGAGGGGGGCGUUUACCACGGUGUGAUUCAUGACUGGGGUGAAGUCGUAACAAGGUAACCA
rnacentral:rRNA from 1 species